rnacentral:rRNA from 1 species
GAUGAACGCUGGCGGUAUGCUUAACACAUGCAAGUCGAACGGACUCUUCGGAGUUAGUGGCGGACGGGUGAGUAACGCGUGAGAAUCUGGCUUUGGGUUCGGGACAACCACUGGAAACGGUGGCUAAUACCGGAUGUGCCGAGAGGUAAAAGAGAAAUUGCCGGAAGAUGAGCUCGCUUCUGAUUAGCUAGUUGGUGAGGUAAAGGCUCACCAAGGCAGCGAUCAGUAGCUGGUCUGAGAGGAUGACCAGCCACACUGGGACUGAGACACGGGCCAGACUCCUACGGGAGGCAGCAGUGGGGAAUUUUCAGCAAUGGGAGAAAGCCUGACGGAGCAAUACUGCGUGAGGGAAGAAGGCUCGUUGGUUGCACACCUCUUUACGGAGGGAAGAACAAAAUGACGGUACCUAAGGAAUCAGCAUCGGCGAACUCCGU